CCCGAAUUGCCUAAUUAACACCCGAUAAGGGUCGGGAAAAAUCCCACAAAGCAUCCAAUAAAUACUACAUGCAAUUCUCUAUCUAAUUAUACUAAUCACAUCACUAAUAUACAAAGCAAUUAACUAAUAAUCACUAAUCAAUUCUAAUCUAACAACCUAAUUACACUUAAUUAACACUAAUCAACCUUUAAGUAUAAUUAGCAAACUAAGAAGGCAUUAGUGAGUAAAACUCACUCAAAACGACGGGCUCGACGCGAGGAUCAACUUUCCUCAAAGCGGGCCGAGCAUCCGGGCUCGGGAAGGCGGCCAAAACGGGCUAAAACCCCUCUGCGAUACCCAUUUCUGCACUCUCUGUGCGCGGCUGGUUGAGGCCGUUCCGGGGUCGAUUGAGGUGGCCAAGGGCAGCUAGAGUCCGGUGGAGCUCCGGCGGGUUGAAGUGGCGGCGUAUGGUGGCCGGAGGUGGCUGAACCGUGGCUUGUGCUGGCCAAAAUGGAGCUGAACAGAGGCGGAACAGGGGUUGGACAGCAGCUCUGGAACAACGAGUUGGGCGAGAGGGAGACCGAGCUGAGCAGAGCAGCGGCGGAGCGCACGGCGUCGCGCGAGCGGUGGUGCGGUAGCUCCGGUCCAGCAACGCCAGCUGCUGCCCCAACUCCGGUGUCCUCCCAGAUCUGAAACCCUGAGCAGCGAACGGAGGGGAAGACAGAGGUGCUGACGGCGGCUGGAAUGGGUGAGGGAGAGGUGGAGAGCGAGCGCGCACGGCCGAGGAGCAGCGACGGCGUGCGGCGUGAGGUGGCGACGACGGUCUUGGCUCCGGCACGGCUGUAGCCCUUCAACGCAACUGACCUCUGUUUCUGCUUCUGCUUUGUUCGAACAAGAAGGGCGGAAGAGAGAGGGACGGGGCUGUGCACGGGCAGCAGAACGGCGGACAGCAGCGACUCCGGCUCCGGUUGCUUGCUGCAUCGACAUUGAGAGGAAUCGCUACUUCGGCCUGCUGGUUCGCUGAUCUUCAGCUUCCAUGGAGUCUUGAAGAAAAAGAAGAAGAUGGGGGAUGCAUUCGGUCGACGGAGGGGAGAGGGGAGGAAGAGAAAAUCAAUUUCUCAUUUUCCUCUCACACACUCUCUCUCUUAGGUCAGCCAUACGUGGGCACCACCAGCUGCCCUCCACUCACAAUUCCAAGACAAUUUUUCCCCUUCUAGAAGCAUUUAGGUAGGCCAAAAUGUGGGGGUAAGUGUGGCAUACGAAUUUUGCUAGGAUUUCUCUCCAAUUGGGCCUUAAUUCCUCUUGAAUUAAAUCAAAUUGACUCUCAUAAUUUCAUUUAACACCUCGUCAUUCCAAUUGGUAUUUUUUUUUUCUUAUCAAUAUAGCCCACUUACAUCACAAUUCCAAAAUCCUUAGCUUCAACUGAACCAAAGCGGCCCUAUUAUCCAAUCAAAAUUAGGACCCGAAAAUCUGGAUGUCACAACUCUUCCCCUCUUAUAAAAAUUUCGUCCUCGAAAUUUAAGCCUUUAACAAUCCUUAAACGAAAGGUGAGGGUAUCGUCGUCUCAUCGAGCCUAACUUUUUUUUUUCCCACGCUAACCCUUCGGUCUUGUGGCAUUGUCCGACCAUUUUGACCGAGGAGACCAUUUUGGUACACAAACUCUGCUCUUUCUGAAUCAACAACCGAACUAAACUUCUCACAUAAGACACUCUAUCAUCCACAUUUGAUCUCUUUUUCUCGACUCCCUAAUAAACCUUCGAACCUCAACGAUUCAAAAUUUAUGAUAGUUCUGAGCAGUCUUUACUCUGACGCUGAUCUGACAACUGCAAACACUGAUUACUGAGCUGACUCUGGACUUGCGAUUUUCUGAUUUCUGAUCUCAUCCCAACCGACUGAAAUCCUGUACACUCUGCCCUGUACUGAUUAAAAGGAAACUAUCUGACUGAUCUGCUAAAACUAGGAACCUCUGGUCAAGAUCUAAUAUAACUCUGGCACUGAUCUUGGCAACUGCAAUCACUGACUACUGUACUGACUUUGGCCUGAAAUCUUCUUCACUUUCUUUUUACCACUGAAAUUCUGUACCCUCUGUUAUGCACUACUUAAGAAAGAACCCUCUGAAAACUCUGCCAAACUUAUAAUCUCGGAUCUAGAUUUGAAAUAUAAUUCAUCCUCGGCACUCCAUGCCAGCGAAUUAUCUGAUGUACACACACACUUCGGUAUACCCACUCCGUGACAAGAUAGAAUCUUCAAUUUCUGAAAUCGAACUUAGAUUGGCGGUUAAUUUCAUUCCGACACACUUUUAGUGUAACCUAGGCUACUGGGUAGUGUUCAGAGCUUUUUACGACAAAUGACUUGUGGUCGAUUUUCUUCGAACCACGAUGAACCCACUCGACACAUUGGCAACUCUCAAUUGUCGUGAAAAUCUCAAAGAUUCAAAUACGGACACAGGGUACCAAACCGACAGUAAAGUCAAAUUAGUGCCAGUCGACGAGAGUUUUCCAAUUUAGUGGGGUCACCCACGAUUAGUCAUUCAUCUCAGUCGAGCCGACCUAUCUUUGAUCUCAAUUCGAUUUUUAACUGUGCCGUAAUGAUCUCUAAAGAUGAGCACGGUCGAGAAAUCGAUUCCUGGUCGAAUUCUUAGUCUAUCUGCCUUAAAGUCCUUAAUAACUCACCCAGCUAGUCUAGUUAUCUCAUGAGUGGCCAACUCAGAGAAAAGCACUAUAGCCACAUCGAUGAAAUGCCCAAUUUAUCUAAUCGAAAUCAGAGUCCAAAAAUCUGAAUGUUACCCACUCAAAACAAGAUCUAUUCACACUGUACCAAAGUGAACCAACUCCAUCUAUCGAUCGACCACUAUUCUCAAAUGGUAUCAGUAAUCCCCUGAAUCCUUAGUAAGCCAUAUAUUUCCAUUUCCACUUGGGACUCUCAAGUGAUGGUAACAAUUCUCCCGGUUCGCAUUACCAAGCUUCCACUUACUGACACUUCUGACACUCGCAGCCUGCUUAGCUGUAUUUAUCUUCAUAUCAGCUUGCUAAUCUAGCUGAUGCCGAUUCUGACUUACUUGCAUCAUCUGGUCAAAACUACAAUACUAUAAUGAACUUUCGACAAGAUCUUUUUCCUAAGUGCUGCACUGUCAAGUGUAUUCAAUCACUCAUGGAACCUGAACUUUCCAUUCUCAUAAAUCUUAAAGUCAGAUUCUUUAUUGCCAGUAUCCUCUUAUAAGAUCUUCUGAACAUCUUUGUCUCUCAACUAAAUGCUUGAUUCUAACUGGAAUGUUUGGUUCAAUCUUGAGGGUGGCUAUAAAAUUCAAAAGGUAGCCUGCCUCAAUUUUGAAAACCAAGCUUCGAAGUCUUUUCACGUAAAGUCUACACUUUAGCCAGUCUAUGCACAAUUAAAGACUCUCGGCUCAACACAUUAAUGGCUCAUUUCAUUCCUCCAAGGUGAUACCCAAUAUCACUAUUAUAGUUCUGCCAAAAUUCUAAUUCACGACACCGCUUCGUAUUCCACUGAUUGGGUCUCAACUGGCGGAACGGUGAUACAACAAUCUUCUCAUGUUGUAUCAAUGCAUACCCCGUCCUUUACAAGACACAUCACUGAAGAUUCCAUGCUUUCCAGAGCCAAAUGAAAAGUUUAGCACAAGUACGAUAGUCAGUUCUUAUUUAAGCUUUGGAAACUAUCCUCGUACUUGUCUAUGCUGAUGAAUUUCUCUUCUUUCUUAAGAGAUCAACCUCACGAUGAUGUUGAUGCUGAAAAUUCUUUCACAAACCUUCUGUAGUAAUCUAUCCAAUCCCCACAACUUCUGAUCUCUGACACUAUUGUCAAUCUUGAUCUGCUAACAAUUGAUUUGAUCUUGGCUGGGUCCAUGAAGAUUCCCUUACCUGUAACCACACGACCAUUUCUUAGGGGCUCUCGUGAUCCUCAUCACUUAAUGAACACCCUAGAACGUCGCUACACCACACGAUCACCAUUGAUCUAGAUAUUCUUUAAACACUCGAUUUGUCAAAUCCAUGACAGUGGCUGGAGCGUUCGUCAAAUCAAAUUGCUUCACAUUAUUCUCACCAGGGCAAAAUCAAGUGUGAAAUGUUGUCCUCAGUAUAACCUCCUUCCUAAUUCUCAACUGACGAUAAUUUGUCCUCAAGUCGAUUCUUGAAGACAUCAACACUUUUUAUAACAAGUCACCCAAUUCGUCAAUCUUUGAUAAUGAACACUUAUCCUUGAUUGUCACUUGAUUAAGUCGACUAUAGUUGAUGCAUAAUUGUAACAAACCAUCUUUCUUUCUUUCUUCACAGAACUAAUGUUCCCUAAAGUGAUGCACUGAUAUGCAUGAAUUCCUCAUUCAUCAAUCCUCACAUUUGCACAAUUGGUUCUAUCAAUUCAAGUAACAACAACUGAUAAGAAACUUUAAAGAAUGGUUCUGUUCCAGUUGCUAGCUUGUACGUAAUUCUAUCUCUUUCUUUCGCAACGGUCUGACCACUUUUCUGGCAAUACUUCUGAGAUUUCUUGGACUACUAAGGAGUCCUCAAUUUUCAUUCUUCAAUCUGUCUUCUUUUUGACAAUCAUCAAGUAACCUGGGCAACCUCUGUCUAACAAACGGAUUGCCUCAAGUUACGAGAUUAAAGAAGUCGAUGACCCUUCUCGAUUCUCAAUAAAACUUGGCAUUUCUACCUUCUCUUGGAAUAAAUUGGGUUACACCACUAUAAAAAUUCAUCACCACAAAAUACUCCAUAACCAAUUCUUUCCACACUUGACGAAUAAAUUUUUACACCAAUAACCAAUCGAGUACAACUCUAGUCAAUCGUUCUUUUCCUACAGCCUUAACAAACAACUAAAAUUCCACACUUGUAUUCCCAACACUCUUUGGCACCAUUCCGAUAAAAUCACCUCAAAACAUUAUUCCAUUGAAUAAGGCAUAGUCAAUUCCAUUCAUGUUCCUUUUGCCAUCCUAAUGGCGUCUCAUCUGCGGUAUCGGUAUCAAUGCUCUCUUGGACUCACACUGAUAGUUUUUUCACCUGACAGCCGUGCUAACUACCAUCAUAGCACGUUUUAGCCAUUCUCAAACAUAGGAUUAAUCCAUGCAUUCCUUCCAUUCUUUUGACAUUUAUCUGGUGAGUCUUCUACCUCUUGUCAAGUGCUAGCAUGCACUAUUUCUUGUACUAGAGACUUAUCCCAGAAAUUCCACAGUGCGUUCUAUGGCGUACUUCUCCUAAACUGUUCUACCAACAGUGACAGCAGUAACUGUUGUCAAGAUUCCAUCUUCUUAUGCGGAUACACCAUAAAUCACUGUCUGUACUGGCGACACUUACCACAAUUUCCUGUCCUCAAAAUACACAAGACUGAUCUAUACCAUCUUCCAUAGAACAACAUGUUCCAUUAAUCUGAAGGCUAUCCUGCCUAUGCCACCCCUCUUAUUGGGUGGAAUAGAAUACUCUUCCCUCAACAUCAGUCCUUUCCCUUGACCGAAUUCCAAAUCUGCUUCGCUGAAUCUGGACUCAUAUAUCGAAAUAUGUUCCCUGACUAUCCUUCCAGGUUAAACCUCAGCAAGAUAGCAACAACAACAACUUGAUUCUGAUCUUACUGGCUCAUCCAGAUCCCAAGAAACACUUGCAUCAAAUCAAUCUUAUCGGGCCUAGGAUCAAUCAACGCUGCUACACUAGUACCAACCUGCGGUGGCACUCUUACGCUCAAGCUGGCCAGAGUCAACACUCUGCCUUCCGAAUCCACAACGAUUAAAAGCAAGCAAUUCACACCCGAAAAGCAAUUCUACCAAUCAGCUAUCAAAGACAUGCACCAGUCAUGAAUUUAAAGGCCUUUCCUAUUACUAUCCCAUAGGUCAUCGCACCUUAUCACUCCAAUACCUAACCAUUGCUCUGAUACCACAAAAAGGGAAUGUCACGCCCCGACCCUCAGGCACGCACACAUCCCUUACUGUUGGUCGAUUUUAAAAAUGCGAUAUCCCAGGACUAUGUAUCGCCGACCCUUUCAUUUAUAUAUGCACAUGCGGAAGCAGUUAUAAAUCCCCAAACAAUAAAGCAAUGGGAUAGAAAAGCAGGCCAUACAUUUUUCAUACUGAAAAUUCACAACUACAGCUUUUUACAUGCAAACAAGGUCUGACAAGACAGGAUAGGAUUUCGAUCCUCAACCGAGUUGUACUCGAUGUCAUACUCGGGGUCCUCCUCCACGUACUCCUCUUUGGGUUCCUCAACAGAGAUCUCCUCAUCAGAUUCAUGCUCCUCAAGCUCCUUAUCCAGGUCCUGAAAUGGUUAUUCAAUAACCACUGAGACCACGUCUCAGCAAGUUCUACUUCCUAAGACCCGAUUAGUAAACUAAUACACCUUAGGGCUGCCUAUGCACAACAUGAGUCAGAGGACUUACCUUGGCCUCAGAUUCCACCUGCAUAUUAGUACAGAUUAAAUAGGCACCCAAGCAAACCCAUCACAGAUCGAAGCAUCGAUCAAAUCGACCUAGUCGAUUUCACGUCAACAAGACCACUCACGGUCAUUUCCACUAUUCCAACCAAUUUACAACAUCAAUUCAAGGCAAUGAUCAAUCGACCUAGUCGAUUACAUAUCAACAAGACCACUUCUGGUCAUUUCAACUAUUCCAAUUCAAUUCCCAAUUAUGAAUCAUGGUCCUUAGGACACAACUUAAUUAUAGGUGGUAAUCAUGGCCCCACCAAGCAAUUUUCUUAGAUUUAGUGGCAUCACGGCCCCACCCGGCAACUUUUAAUAUGUAGUGGCAUCACAGUCCCACUCGGCAAUGCUAUAUGUAGUGGCAUCACUGCCCCACUCGGCAACUUUCAAUAUGUAGUGGCAUCACGGCCCCACUCGGCAAUGUUAUAUGUAGUGGCAUCACGGCCCCACUCGGCAACUUUCAAUAUGUAGUGGCAUCACGGCCCCACUCGGCAAUGUUAUAUGUAGUGGCAUCACGGCCCCACUCGGCAACUUUCAAUAUGUAGUGGCAUCACGGCCCCACUCGGCAAUGUCAUAUGUAGUGGCAUCACGGCCCCACUCGGCAACUUUCAAUAUGUAGUGGCAUCACGGCCCCACUCGGCAACUUUCAAUAUGUAGUGGCAUCACGGCCCCACUCGGCAAUGUUAUAUGUAGUGGCAUCACGGCCCCACUCGGCAAUGUUAUAUGUAGUGGCAUCACGGCCCCACUCGGCAACUUUCAAUAUGUAGUGGCAUCACGGCCCCACUCGGCAAUGUCAUAUGUAGUGGCAUCACGGCCCCACUCGGCAACGUUAUAUGUAGUGGCAUCACGGCCCCACUCGGCAACUUUCAGUAUGUAGUGGCAUCACGGCCCCACUCGGCAACUUUCAAUAUGUAGUGGCAUCACGGCCCCACUCGGCAAUGUCAUAUGUAGUGGCAUUAUCAACCGAUGCCCGGUUAUUCUUCAAUUAAUAACCAAAGAUGAUUCAAUUUAGGAAUAAAUCCUAAAAUCAUUGAUAAAUCAAUUUAGCACAAAAUCAAGCUCAAUUAAAUAAACAGACUGUACAAUGACAAUCAGCACGAAAUUUCGGUCGCUGGCCAUCCCAGUUGAAUUUUCGGAAAAAUAAAUAAUUAAACAAUUAAUUCCGAAAAUUAAAUAAAUACAUACAAUAAAUUCAAUUUAGCAUAAUAUAAAAUUCAAUUAAAUAAACGGACUGCACCACGAUCAUCAGCAUAAAAUUUCGGUUCCAGACCAUCUCAAUUGAAUUUUCGGAAAAUAAAUAAUUAAUUAAUUCCGUAAAAUAAUAUUAAAAUACCAAAAAAAUCUCACUUAUGCCCGAAUUGCCUAAUUAACACCCGAUAAGGGUCGGGAAAAAUCCCACAAAGCAUCCAAUAAAUACUACAUGCAAUUCUCUAUCUAAUUAUACUAAUCACAUCACUAAUAUACAAAGCAAUUAACUAAUAAUCACUAAUCAAUUCUAAUCUAACAACCUAAUUACACUUAAUUAACACUAAUCAACCUUUAAGUAUAAUUAGCAAACUAAGAAGGCAUUAGUGAGUAAAACUCACUCAAAACGACGGGCUCGACGCGAGGAUCAACUUUCCUCAAAGCGGGCCGAGCAUCCGGGCUCGGGAAGGCGGCCAAAACGGGCCAAAACCCCUCUGCGAUACCCAUUUCUGCACUCUCUGUGCGUGGCUGGUUGAGGCCGUUCCGGGGUCGAUUGAGGUGGCCAAGGGCAGCUAGAGUCCGGUGGAGCUCCGGCGGGUUGAAGUGGCGGCGCAUGGUGGCCGGAGGUGGCUGAACCGUGGCUUGUGCUGGCCAAAAUGGAGCUGAACAGAGGCGGAACAGGGGUUGGACAGCAGCUCUGGAACAACGAGUUGGGCGAGAGGGAGACCGAGCUGAGCAGAGCAGCGGCGGAGCGCACGGCGUCGCGCGAGCGGCGGUGCGGCAGCUCCGGUCCAGCAACGCCAGCUGCUGCCCCAACUCCGGUGUCCUCCCAGAUCUGAAACCUUGAGCAGCGAACGGAGGGGAAGACAGAGGUGCCGACGGCGGCUGGAAUGGGUGAGGGAGAGGUGGAGAGCGAGCGCGCACGGCCGAGGAGCAGCGACGGCGUGCGGCGUGAGGUGGCGACGACGGUCUUGGCUCCGGCACGGCUGUAGCCCUUCAACGCAACUGACCUCUGUUUCUGCUUCUGCUUUGUUCGAACAAGAAGGGCGGAAGAGAGAGGGACGGGGCUGUGCACGGGCAGCAGGACGGCGGACAGCAGCGACUCCGGCUCCGGUUGCUUGCUGCAUCGACGCCGAGAGGAAUCGCUACUUCGGCCUGCUGGUUCGCUGAUCUUCAGCUUCCAUGGAGUCUUGAAGAAAAAGAAGAAGAUGGGGGAUGCAUUCGGUCGACGGAGGGGAGAGGGGAGGAAGAGAAAAUCAAUUUCUCAUU
rnacentral:lncRNA from 1 species